GACAAAUGCAAGGACAUCGAAAGUGAGAGAGAUUUCCUGCGUAGCAGUCUGACCAAUGCCUUGUCAGCAAAGGAAGAAAUGAUGGGAGCUUCCUGCAAACCAAAAUAUGAUGAUCCUGUGUCACAGUCUUCCAGUACAGAAGAUGACCUUCAUACAGAACGGAAAAAGAAGACAAAGAGUACAGGAAAAGUUGAGAGAAAAAAAAACAUCACAAAGUUGACUCAUCGUCCUCCUCUGAAUCAACCUCAUUCUCAUCUCAAUCCUCUUCAUCCCCUGCACCCGGAAAAUCCAGCAAAAAUAAGGAUAAAGCCAAGAAAAGGAAUGGGGAAAAAAGCAGAAAUGCACAAGAUUCUUUCUUCCAGAGCAAGCCAUUAAGAGAUACAAGAAGGUCUUGGGCUAUUUGAAGAGUGGAACAACAAAAACACAGGCGUACUUCAAAUGUGGCGUGGAUAGAAAGACAAUUGUGGAUACUGCUGCAAUUGCAGAGCUCGAAGCAUGUGACAUCGAGGCCUACAAAAAUUUGCGUGGCACCUUCCAAAGAGGACAGAAACUGUCUGAUUUUGCAGAGCGGUGCAGAGAAUUAUGCAGACAAGAGCCAUUG